GGGCCCGUGGUCUAGCCUGGUCUAUGGCGCCUCCCUGUCACGGAGGAAAUCGCCGGUUCAAAUCCGGUCGGGCCCG
rnacentral:tRNA from 3 species